GAUUAUGGCUCAGGAUGAACGCUAGCUACAGGCUUAACACAUGCAAGUCGAGGGGCAGCAUUGGGGUAGCAAUACUCAGAUGGCGACCGGCGCACGGGUGAGUAACACGUAUCCAACCUGCCGCUUACUCGGGGAUAGCCUUUCGAAAGAAAGAUUAAUACCCGAUGGUAUAAAGAGUUCGCAUGUUCUCUUUAUUAAAGAAUUUCGGUAAGCGAUGGGGAUGCGUUCCAUUAGAUAGUUGGCGGGGUAACGGCCCACCAAGUCUACGAUGGAUAGGGGUUCUGAGAGGAAGGUCCCCCACAUUGGAACUGAGACACGGUCCAAACUCCUACGGGAGGCAGCAGUGAGGAAUAUUGGUCAAUGGACGAGAGUCUGAACCAGCCAAAAGUAGCGUGAAGGAUGACUGCCCUAUGGGUUGUAAACUUCUUUUAUAAGGGAAUAAAGUGAGGGACGUGUCCCUUUUUGUAUGUACCUUAUGAAUAAGGAUCGGCUAACUCCGUGCCAGCCGCCGC
rnacentral:rRNA from 1 species